GGCAAUCUGGCCGAGUGGUCUAAGGCGCCAGGUUCAGGUCCUGGUCUCAGAUUCUGGGGCGUGAGUUCGAAUCUCACGGUUGUCA